rnacentral:rRNA from 1 species
AGACGGAGGGUGCUAACGUUGUUCGGAAUUACUGGGCGUAAAGCGUGCGUAGGCGGUUUGUUAAGUCGGAUGUGAAAGCCCUGGGCUCAACCUGGGACGUGCAUUCGAAACUGGCAGACUAGAGUCUGGAAGAGGUUGGCGGAAUUCCCGGUGUAGCGGUGAAAUGCGUAGAUAUCGGGAGGAACAUCAGUGGCGAAGGCGGCUGACUGGUUCAAGACUGACGCUGAGGCACGAAAGCGUGGGGAGCAAACAGGAUUAGAAACCCCAGUAGUCC